UCCCCAGUAGCUCAGCGGUAGAGCGCUCGACUGUUAAUCGAUCGGUCGCAGGUUCGAAUCCUGCCUGGGGAGCCA
rnacentral:tRNA from 1 species